rnacentral:rRNA from 1 species
AUUGAACGCUGGCGGCAUGCCUUACACAUGCAAGUCGAACGGUAACGGGCCUUCGGGUGCCGACGAGUGGCGAACGGGUGAGUAAUGCAUCGGAACGUACCUUUCAGUGGGGGAUAACGUAGCGAAAGUUACGCUAAUACCGCAUAUUCUGUGAGCAGGAAAGCAGGGGAUCGCAAGACCUUGCGCUGAUUGAGCGGCCGAUGUCAGAUUAGCUAGUUGGUGAGGUAAAGGCUCACCAAGGCGACGAUCUGUAGCGGGUCUGAGAGGAUGAUCCGCCACACUGGAACUGAGACACGGUCCAGACUCCUACGGGAGGCAGCAGUGGGGAAUUUUGGACAAUGGGGGCAACCCUGAUCCAGCCAUGCCGCGUGAGUGAAGAAGGCCUCGGUGUAAGACGUCUUUCGGUCC